rnacentral:lncRNA from 1 species
GCGUCCCUCAAAUGGAUGACGUCUGACCUCUAGAGAAUUAAGGCUAAACUUUCCAAUGUAGUAGAUUAGUUCUAGUUGAGAGUUAGGGAGAGCGGCGCUACGCCUGGGUUCUGGAGGAGUGUUCGGGAGGAGUCUUCUGGAGGAGUCAUCAGAGUUCUGGUAUAUCUUUGUAUCUUUUCUUGUAAGACUUAUGCUGUAAUAUAUUUUAUCUUCUCUAUUUACUUUUAUGCAUUACAUUUGAUUGGUUAGUAUAGUUGUUAUACUUUAGCAUAGGAUCUUCGCCCGCAUCGGGUGGUCUAGUUAUUAAUUGUGACUUGAGUAGUAGAGAUAUGGUGUCUAGACUAUAGGUUAUCUAAGAUUGCACCCAGUUCUAUGGAUAGUUGUGGUAGCCCCAGGUGGUGACAGCCCUGAUGUAACACUCUAAAAAUUCGCUUCUUUAAAAUAGUUCAAAUUUGAUUUUUUUUGGAGUCAAUUUUGUGAGUAUUAAAUAUAGAAAAAUAAUAAUAAAUUUUGGGAAAUUAAAAUUUAAGAUAAGUUUAGAAACAUAUUGAUGCAUUCAUGAUGUAGCAUUUUAUUUUUUGUGAAGUGUGGUUUUUAGCAAAAGAGUCUUGAAUUCAUAUUCUAUUUGAAAGAAGCUUUGAAAAAUUGUUUGAAGAAAAAAGAAGAAAUCCACCUCUCUCCCCCUUUCCUCUCUCUCACUGCCAGGCGGGGUCCGCUUGUCAUCUCCCACCUCUUGCAACCGCUCCCUCCUCUCACGCACGCAGCAACCUCCCAAGCCGCGCCCCGCUCCCACAAUUCCCCCCACGCCCCACGCUUCGGCCGUGCCCGAGCCGCACUCCCUCUCCUCAUUCCCCUCCCAUUCUGCUCUCUCGCUCGCUCGAACGCGCACUACAGAACCGCCAUCGGAGCCGCGACUCGCCGCACGUCGUCCCGACGAACCGAGCCGUCCCACUCCUCAUUGUUUCACUCGAUGAGCUCGCCAUUCUCCCCACUCUCUCCCACAGCCUUCCCCACGUGAUUUGGUGCAUUCCAGUGCCUUAGCCGCGAGCUCCGACGGGCCGUUCAUGGCGCCGCUGCGAACCACCAUGGAAACUGCUUUCUUCAGCCGCGCAAAGACACGAAACGCGCUCGCCUUGAUCUCCUCUCUCUCCCGGUGUUCUUGGUUCAGAAAACGGUGCCCUGUAGUCUCCUAACGCCCAACGCCGCCGAGCUCCGAGGCCGCCGGCCAUGGCACGCCCGCACAGACGCACCCCCAGCCACGCUGAGGGCAUGGGCGGACUCGCGACGGCCUCCUCUUUCUCCCGGUUCAAACGGAAUCGAAAAUCGUGCAUCGUAGCUCCCGAUUCAUUUGCUCCGGCGAGCUCCUCGCCACCUGCCAUGGAGCACCACCGUGUCCUCUCCUAAUUCCGGUCAAGAGCACCCCUCACCCCCUCCCAAUCCUGUUGCAGCUAUCCGAUCUCAAAUCAACGGCCACGAUUAGAAGAUACCUCUUUGUUUGCACUUUUGUUAAAGAGUCCCUGUGUUUUUGCCAAAUGAACACGCAGUCCGUAGGCGUCUUUUGAAAAUACGCUUUCACUGAUUUAAAGAUGUAUUUCACUACGGUUUGAUUCAAAAUACGUUUUCUAGUAUUUACAAAAAUGCUAGAGUUUGUUUUGGCCAUAAAAUAUUUGUUUUAACUCUGAUUUGACCCGUUCAACUCGCGUUAGGUUCGUAUUUGCGAGAUCUAAAUGUUAGUCUAACUGUUUUACCAAUUUGAAACUUUUUAAUUUCGUGACCCUAUUUAAUUAAUUACUUUUCAAAAGAAAAUCUUAGAAAAAUUCAUAUCUUCUCCGUUUUAGCUCCGAUUCGAUCCGUUCAAGUUGCGUUAGUUUCAUAAUUUCAUAAGCUUCACGUUGGUACCAUUGUUGUCUAGGUUCACCACUGUUAGGUUUCCUAGAUAAUUACAAGUCCGUAGAUAGCCUUUGCAGUCCCGUUUAAUGCGUAGAUUUCAUGUCGUAACUCCGUUUUCAGUAAAUUUCUCGUUGACGUGAUUGUAGCAGCGGGUAGAUGAUUUUGAAAAACUUUUAUUUACAUUUAUUUACUGCUGGUGUACUGUUCUAAUUGUAAUCUUGUUUGCUUCGUGUAUGUCUGUCUCCGAUUGUUUGUGUGUUGAUGAUCGAUGAUUGAGAUUAGUCAGUGGGCAUUACUUCGGUGAUCAAGAUCAGAGCCUUGAAAGCAAGUAAGAUCAGCAGGACCAGCAGGAGAAAUUGGAUCAAGGCAAGUAUAGCAUUUGGGUUUUAAUUCUAUGACCAUGAUCUUGUGACUAGAUUAAUAUAAAGCAACAAAUGAUAAUAAUGACUUUUUAGCAACUUGAGGAUUUAUUCGUAAGUGAUAACCGGGAUGAAAGUGCAACUAUGAGGGCUAUGAUGGCUCUAGCUUUAGUCAAGUAUGAGUAAUUUUUCUAGCUGGUUAGAGGCUAUUCGUGUGGUGCAAAUGGGGGAUAGCAGACCGUGGAUUCCCUGCAGGGUAGAAUCACACAGACUAACUACCGAAACCAAGCGGCCCUAACUUGUUAGACGAACCUUUGAAAGACUUCAUAGUGAUCCCUGCCAGCCUCUCUUGGAAGGGGGUUAAGAGGUUAGCUACCUCGGGCGAAAGGGUAAAUCAUGACUCAUGGGUAAAGAUGUACAACCUCUACAGAGUGUUUAAUAAACUGGUAUACUUGUCGUGCUCACGGACACGAGCGGCCUUGGGGAUUCUUACAUUAAGGGUGAUGAAUCUUGUUGCGUAAAUAUGCUCAUGUUUAUUGUUUAAUGCUCUAUAUUAUUUAUGUCACAUUGAUCAUGAGACUGUGGGAUCUAUACUACCUAGUUGCCAUACUUGCGGAGUUCGUC